AUGAAGAAAGUGGGUCAGAAAUGUAACGGCGUGAAACUGUAUGAGUGGAGUGUUGGUGAUUUGUCAUGCUCAGAGAGCCAGGAGGAUGAAGAUCUUGGGGAUAUCCAAAGAUCUUGGAGGGCUUCAGACCCACAUCAGAGCAGACCAGUCAUGAAGGGAAGCAUCUAACUAACUCCUCAUGGAAUAUUUAAGCAGAUGUGAUCAGUACUGUAAGCUUUAUUCCUAUAUAUUUUUGGGUCUUAUCGUUAAGAUGCAAUCUACACCCUCCCACCUUGAAAGAGAAAGGGAACAUUCUUAAUAAAGAAUACUAAUAUAUGCUAUUGAAAUAAUAAAAUAGAAAGUCAUCAUUUGGUAAUAUCAAGAAAUAAUUGAUUCACAAAGGGUCAAUAACAGGUUUAAGUCAUUGGUUAAAAGGGUCUUAAAAAAGACAGGACGUUUAUGGAGUUUCAAACCAUAAUCUCACAGGUCACAUCUGAACUGAGGAAAGAGAUUCUUAAUAACGGAGACAAGUGGAGACUCCCACCUUAACCAACAAAAGUGAUCAAAUUUAACACCAAUAAUAGGAUAAACUAGCAUUAUGUGCCUCCUGAUGUGAUUCAAAGUCAGUUACAUGAUAUCCUCCACAAAAGGUUUAACUUGAAUCCCAUUACGAGGAAACAGAAAAAUCCAAAAUUUGGGGCAUUUCACCAAGACAGCUAGCCUGAAACUUUCUAAACAAUUGCCCCUGAAUAACUAUAAACAGGACUUCCCUGGUAGCUCAGCCGGCGAAUCUGCCUGCCAUGCACGAGACCCUGGUUCAAUUCCUGGGUUGAGAAGAUCUGCUGGUGCAGGGAUAGGCUGCCCACUCCAGUAUUGUUGNNNUUCCCUGGUGGCUCAGCUGGUAAAGAAUUCGCCUGCAAUGUGGGAGACCUCGGUUUGAUCCCUGGGUUGGAAAGAUCUCCUGGGAAAGGGAACAGUUACCUACUCCAGUAUUCUGGCCUGGAGAAUUCUACGGACCAUAUGUGAAAAAUGCUGGCCUGGAAGAAACACAAGCUGGAAUCAAGAUUGCCUGGAGAAAUAUCAAUA
rnacentral:lncRNA from 1 species